rnacentral:rRNA from 1 species
ACAAUGGAGAGUUUGAUCCUGGCUCAGGACGAACGCUGGCGGCGUGCUUAACACAUGCAAGUCAAGGAGAACGUAUUCUUCGGAAUACUAUUAAACUGGCGAACGGGUGAGUAACGCGUAGGCAACCUGCCCUAGAGACGGGGAUAACUUCGGGAAACCGGGGCUAAUACCGCAUAAGAUCGCAAGAUGAAAGAAGGCCUCUACUUGUAAGCUUUCGCCAAUAGAUCGGCCUAUUUCCCAUUAGCUUGUUGGUGGGGUAAAGGCCUACCAAGGCAACGAUGGGUAGCUGGUCUGAGAGGAUGAUCAGCCACACUGGAACUGAGACACGGUCCAGACUCCUACGGGAGGCAGCAGUGGGGAAUCUUGCACAAUGGGCGCAAGCCUGAUGCAGCAACGCCACGUGAGUGAAGAAGGCUCUUGGGUCGUAAAGCUCUUUCGG